GAUGAACGCUGGCGGCGUGCUUAACACAUGCAAGUCGAACGGUGAACACGGAGCUUGCUCUGUGGGAUCAGUGGCGAACGGGUGAGUAACACGUGAGCAACCUGCCCCUGACUCUGGGAUAAGCGCUGGAAACGGCGUCUAAUACUGGAUACGAGUAGCGGCCGCAUGGUCAGUUACUGGAAAGAUUUUUUGGUUGGGGAUGGGCUCGCGGCCUAUCUGCUUGUUGGUGAGGUAAUGGCUCACCAAGGCGUCGACGGGUAGCCGGCCUGAGGGGGUGGCCAGCAACACGGGGACUGAGACACGGCCCAGGCUCCUACGGGAGGCAGCAGUGAGGAAUAUUGCACAAUGGGCGAAAGCCUGAUGCGGCAACGCCGCGUGAGGGAUGACGGCCUUCGGGUUGUAAACCUCUUUUAGCAGGGAAGAAGCGAAAGUGACGGUACCUGCAGAAAAAGCGCCGGCUAACUACGUGCCAGCAGCCGCGGUAA
rnacentral:rRNA from 1 species